GAAUGAGCACAACACAGCUCAGCAUUUUAAAAACAUGUCGUCACUGUAGUUGUUACUCAUCUACGUGGUUCUGCUUGGGUUAACUCCGUGACACACAACUGGCAACCUCAGUUGGGCUCGGCCUUGCACCUCAGACCACUAAGUGCCCUUGAGCCAAGCCCGGGUCAGGGGCGUCCGCGCCGGCAGAUUCUGGUCUGGUUUGUUCAGUGCAGCGGGUCAGAGCCGCAGAACUCAGCACACACACUUAUCAGGCCUGCACCGCGUCCGUCUGCACCGACGCAGAUAAACUUUACCAAGGGCCGUUUGGGGCCGUUUGUUGCAUUUGUAAAACAGGUGCAAUCAUUUGUUUACUUGACUUACUUCCCCGUUCUCAGCGGAGCGUCUUGAAGGAGAACAGAUGGACGUGACCAAGUUCUCCAUAGAGGCCGCCUUCCUGCACUGACCUCAGCGCCUCAACCAGAGAGCUCCAGCAUCCAGAGGGCGUCUCUGUUUGCUCCGUCCUGCAGCUGCUGGGACGCGACGACGCCGCCACAAUCUGAACACCUCACCUCGCGUUCGAGGCCGAUGCAACGCAUCCACCGCAGCCUUUGAACCACAACAACAACAACUUCACCCCGCGUGGAUUCACGAGGAUCCCGUCACAGUCAUCCCACAGGCCGGAGUUAUAACAAACCAAUCAAACAGACAGAACCGUGUGACCCUGCGAUCAACCGCGGUUGGAAUGUAGGAAUCUAGUUUUGCUUCUUUUAGGCAUAAACACGGUCAAUUAGCCGAUAAGGAAGAGAACAUUACGACAUCGGAGUGACUGUCAUGAAGGUGAAGAAGAAAACAAACUGCUUUGUAGAAGUUUAGCCUGAACCAUAUGGGGAUAAUCUGAAGGUUGAUGUGUGAAUAAAGCCGGAAUAUUGAAUGAUGUUAAAAGCUUUGUGGCCGCGGGAUUAAAGGAGAAGCUCAUUAACACUG